UACGGAGGGUGCGAGCGUUGUCCGGAAUCACUGGGCGUAAAGGGUGCGUAGGCGGGUCUUUAAGUCAGGGGUGAAAUCCUGGAGCUCAACUCCAGAACUGCCUUUGAUACUGAGGAUCUUGAGUUCGGGAGAGGUGAGUGGAACUGCGAGUGUAGAGGUGAAAUUCGUAGAUAUUGGGAAGAACACCGGUGGCGAAGGCGGCUCUCUGGACCGAGACUGACGCUGAGGCGCGAAAGCGUGGGGAGCAAACAGG
rnacentral:rRNA from 1 species